GUCGGGUUCCGGGUCUAUUGCUCACCGGUGUGACGACGGCGACCUCAAGACCGGCGGGGGCAGGGGCAAGUCCGGCGAGAAAUUCCGUCGGCGUGAGCGCGAGGUGGAGUGAGAGUGAGCAGGGAAAAUGGAGAGAGGGCUAGCGGCUUUAUUGUGGCGUGCGGGGGAGUUAAGAUGGGGCUUCAUGGCACCCUAAAUCGCGUCUUGAAAGCUCGGGCAUUAAGGCUAGAUUCUGCUCUUAUCUCUUUGGGGAAGAAGAGCUUACAGGUGGGCCCCGCCUGUCAGUUGCUCAGCUCGGGUGCGCGGGGCGCUAGCGGGCUGGCUGGCUAGCUGGGGCGGUUCGCGAGGCUAGGCCGACAUGCGCGCGCGCGUGCGGGGGAGUUAAGAUGGGGCUUCAUGGCACCCUAAAUCGCGUCUUGAAAGCUCGGGCAUUAAGGCUAGAUUCUGCUCUUAUCUCUUUGGGGAAGAAGAGCUUACAGGUGGGCCCCACCUGUCAGUUGCUCAGCUCGGGUGCGUGGGGCGCUAGCGGGCGGGCUGGCGAGCUGGGGCGGUUCGCGAGGCUGGGCCGACAUGCGCGCGCGCGUGCGGCGGGCUGGGCCAUUUCGGCCCAUUCGGCCGGGCCGGUCCGUUUCCCUUUUUUUUGUUCUUUUCUUUUCUCCUUUUCUUUUUCUGUUUUUCCUUUAUAACUUUUGAGUUUGAACUCCAAAUGAACUCAAAUAAAUUCCAGAAAAUUUGCAAAAUCAUAUCCUCACAUGC
rnacentral:lncRNA from 1 species